rnacentral:rRNA from 1 species
GAGUGAGGUCAUACCAGUAGUAAUUCAUCGGAUCCCAUCAUCACUCUGAAGUUAAACGUACUUGGCCAAGACUAGUACUACGAUGGGUGACCUUUUGAUCCUUCCCCGAGUACACCCCUU